rnacentral:rRNA from 1 species
CCCUUAGAUGUUCUGGGCCGCACGCGUGCUACACUGAGUGGAUCAGCGGGUCAGGUUGCGCGAAAGCGUUUCCUAAUCUUUAAAUCCGCUCGUGAUGGGGAUUGACGGUUGCAAUUUUCUGUCAUGAACGAGGAAUACCUUGUAAGCGCGGGUCAUCAUCCCGCGCUGAAUACGUCCCUGCCCUUUGUACACACCGCCCGUCGCUCCUACCGAUUGAGUGGUCCGGUGAGGCUUUGGGAUCUGAGCGGAAAGAGCGUUUCGGUGUUUCUGCUCGGAAAACUCAGUCGAACCUUAUCAUUUAGAGGAAGGAGAAGUCGUAACA